rnacentral:rRNA from 1 species
GAUGAACGCUGGCGGCGUGCCUAAUACAUGCAAGUCGAGCGAACAGAUGAGGAGCUUGCUCCUCUGACAUUAGCGGCGGACGGGUGAGUAACACGUGGAUAACCUACCUAUAAGACUGGGAUAACUUCGGGAAACCGGAGCUAAGACCGGAUAAUAUAUUGAACCGCAUGGUUCAAUAGUGAAAGACGGUUUUGCUGUCACUUAUAGAUGGAUCCGCGCCGCAUUAGCUAGUUGGUAAGGUAACGGCUUACCAAGGCAACGAUGCGUAGCCGACCUGAGAGGGUGAUCGGCCACACUGGAACUGAGACACGGUCCAGACUCCUACGGGAGGCAGCAGUAGGGAAUCUUCCGCAAUGGGCGAAAGCCUGACGGAGCAACGCCGCGUGAGUGAUGAAGGUCUUCGGAUCGUAAAACUCUGUUAUUAGGGAAGAACAAAUGUGUAAGUAACUAUGCACGUCUUGACGGUACCUAAUCAGAAAGCCACGGCUAACUACGUG